AAAUGAUCCUGUAUAUUGCAAAGUGGUGAUCAGGCUAGCAGAGACUCAAAAAAUGCAAGUAUCCCACAUUGGCAUGGAAUAAAGGACCUUAAUUUGGUUUAACAAUCAAAAUCCAACAGAUUCCCAAAUCAUUUUUUUGUGUGCUAAUUGUGAGUGCUAUUCCAGUCCUGGAUCUGUGAGCUAGAAGAGAAAUCCUCAUUCCUUUACUUAAAUGUGGAACUGAGUUACAGAAAUUGAAAGAAGAAGAAAAAAAAAAUAAGCAAAAAGGAUUUUCUCUUUCUGUACAUUGAAUGCAAAUCUUAAAAGGGAAUACCCAGAUCACUUAUCAAGCAAGCUAUAGAGGAUUUGAAGAUGCAUAGAAUUAAAAUGAAACCAGUAUUAAACACUAUGUGACCGCUCUGGGGGAAAGGAAAAGCUCUAGCAAGUUAAACAGCUGAAUUUCUGUUAAUUUUUGCACUAAAUGCCAAUUUUAUUUAGCCACAUGGAUGCAAGAUUUUGUGCUUGUCUACAUUAACC